rnacentral:rRNA from 1 species
AGUGAACGCUGGCGGUAGGCCUAACACAUGCAAGUCGAACGGCAGCACAGUAAGAGCUUGCUCUUACGGGUGGCGAGUGGCGGACGGGUGAGGAAUACAUCGGAAUCUACUUUUUCGUGGGGGAUAACGUAGGGAAACUUACGCUAAUACCGCAUACGACCUACGAGUGAAAGCAGGGGAUCUUCGGACCUUGCGCGAUUGAAUGAGCCGAUGUGGUAUUGGCUAGUUGGCGGGGUAAAGGCCCACCAAGGCGACGAUCCGUAGCUGGUCUGAGAGGAUGAUCAGCCACACUGGAACUGAGACACGGUCCAGAGUCCUACGGGAGGCAGCAGUGGGGAAUAUUGGACAAUGGGCGCAAGCCUGAUCCAGCCAGACCGCGUGGGUGAAGAAGGCCUUCGGGUUGUAAAGCCCGUUUGUUGGGAAAGAAAAGCAGCAGGUUAAUACCCCGCGGUUCUGACGGUACCCAAAGAAUAAGCACCGGCUAACUUCGUG